GAGACGGAGUUAUUAUUUUAGCUUUAUACUUUUAUAACGUAUAAGAAAAACGCGACGAGGAUUAUUGAGCCAUUCAAUAAUUUAUUAUCCAGUUUGAUAACUGACUUAGCAAAGUCAAGUUAUUAAUUUAUAUGCGAUAGAAAUAGUAUUUCUAUUAUUUACUUGAAGUCGUGAUUAAUUUUCGACUUAUAAAACGAAUUAUAAAAUAUGUAAUUCGUAGAGAGUUAUAACGAAGCGUCGUUAUUUAGUAGAACCCAAUAUUAGUUUUACAAAUACUUGUAACUUCAAUACUUUACAAAUCAUUAUUUUUCCACUCCCUAAUGUUUCCUACACUAUACACGCAUAAUCUCCACUUCUCCACUCCACCAACUAUCUCCAUCACCUUUUGCUUUCUUCCACUACAUUUUUUCUCACCACCCUUUCCACUCCACUAAUUCCACUACACCAAACUUUCCACCUACUCCCUUCCCCACCACACGCAAGAAUGCAUCUAACAUUCCAUUAUACAGGCAACAAUCUUUUCAUCAUCUUCAUUCUUCACUAAGGAACCGAAGAGCAGCCACGAGUUCUGCCAUAAGCACACUGCUCCGGCAGUGUUUUGCAAGGCGAUUCCAGCCAUCCAAAAGGUUGAGUUGUGAUGGGCGAUGAAGUGUUGCUGAGUGGAGUUUUUGUUGAACUUAAAGUAGGCUCAGAAAGGAUACAUGUCUUCAUACAUGUAUCUCAGUUAUGCAUUCCGCUGUAAACACUGAUUAUUUCAGUUACACCUUCCGUUGCAAACUCUGAUAAUGUUUUAGCCAAGCCCCUAACGAUGCCUUUUUCCUUUUUAGGAAUAUAACGCUUAUACAAGUUCGUUGAGUACCCUUUUUAUGCGAACUAUGCCUUUUUCCUUUUUAAGAAAUAUUUCACGCGUAUUCAAGCUCUUUGAGUAUUCUUUUAUGCGCCCCUUUCUAAACCCGCUUCUUAAUUUCCCUUCCCCAGUCAUGGUUUUCCCGGAUUAAUUAUCCUUAAUUAAGGCCGGUCGUGACAGAGUGGUAUCAGAGCAGUUCAUUUGCUCUGAGCCUAAGAGUUUAUUUAAGCCAAACUUAGAAUGGAUCAAUAAAGUGUCUAGAGUUCAAUCAACAAAGCUCAGCACUUCAUCGCAUCACACUCAACGAAGCAGAAUGGUAAACUCUUCCAAGCUUGAGUUAAUGUUUACAAAAAGUGAGAAUUAUCGUAAUAGCAAAAAUGCCGCCUAAGAGAGGACGCCCUGCGAGAAACAAUAACAAUCGCAGAAACCGUAACGCUGUACCCGAAGAACCACAAGAUGCUCGAGGACAUAACCCAUCCCUCCGCCCCCAACUAGGAGAGUCGAAGAACUCUUUUUAAGGCAAAAUCCGCCUACGUUUGACGGAACGAGUGAACCAGCUGAAGCUGAGAUUUGGGUGCGUGCAAAUGAACGCAUCUUCAACUUUCUACAUUGUACUGAUGAGGAGCGCCUAUCUUGCGUCUCAUUCCAGCUAACAUGAUCAGCGGAUUUCUGGUGGGAAACACGACGAAAAAUUCUGACACCUGAACAAUGGGCAAGUUAUACUUGGGAAGAUUUUAAGACAGGAUUAUAUGAUAAAUAUAUUCCGAAAAGCUAUAGGAAGAAGAAAGAAGUUAAGUUCUACGAGUUGAAGCAAGGAAAGAAAUCUGUGGUUGAAUAAAACAAGGAAUUUCACCUUGCCCAAAUUGUGGUAAGAUGCAUAGGGGUGUCUGUCGUGCCGGGACUAACGGUUGUUACAAUUGUGGCCAAAAGGGUCACUACUCCACGCAAUGCCCCAACAAACAACGAGGUUCAACAAUUGAGAACAGCCACACCCCCUUGCCAGCAAUACGUGGACACUUGCGAAAUCAGUUUCAAUCACAUCAGUGAAAAUCUUAUGGAGGCACCGCAGAUAUAAAAAAAAAUUACGUGGGAGUUUGAAGACAAAAUGAAAGAGAAGUACCCGGAUUGUUUUAACAGAGAUAUACAAAUUUCGGGACGAAAUUUUUGUUAAGAGGGGUAGUAUGUAGUAGCCCGCUCUUUUAUUUAUGAUAAAAACUAGUAAAUGCAAUUUUUAUAAAUGAAUCCAGUUUAUGGUCCUGAUUUUUUUUUUUAUCAGAGACGGAGUUAUUAUUUUAGCUUUAUACUUUUAUAACGUAUAAGAAAAACGCGACGAGGAUUAUUGAGCCAUUCAAUAAUUUAUUAUCCAGUUUGAUAACUGACUUAGCAAAGUCAAGUUAUUAAUUUAUAUGCGAUAGAAAUAGUAUUUCUAUUAUUUACUUGAAGUCGUGAUUAAUUUUCGACUUAUAAAACGAAUUAUAAAAUAUGUAAUUCGUAGAGAGUUAUAACGAAGCGUCGUUAUUUAGUAGAACCCAAUAUUAGUUUUACAAAUACUUGUAACUUCAAUACUUUACAAAUCAUUAUUUUUCCACUCCCUAAUGUUUCCUACACUAUACACGCAUAAUCUCCACUUCUCCACUCCACCAACUAUCUCCAUCACCUUUUGCUUUCUUCCACUACAUUUUUUCUCACCACCCUUUCCACUCCACUAAUUCCACUACACCAAACUUUCCACCUACUCCCUUCCCCACCACACGCAAGAAUGCAUCUAACAUUCCAUUAUACAGGCAACAAUCUUUUCAUCAUCUUCAUUCUUCACUAAGGAACCGAAGAGCAGCCACGAGUUCUGCCAUAAGCACACUGCUCCGGCAGUGUUUUGCAAGGCGAUUCCAGCCAUCCAAAAGGUUGAGUUGUGAUGGGCGAUGAAGUGUUGCUGAGUGGAGUUUUUGUUGAACUUAAAGUAGGCUCAGAAAGGAUACAUGUCUUCAUACAUGUAUCUCAGUUAUGCAUUCCGCUGUAAACACUGAUUAUUUCAGUUACACCUUCCGUUGCAAACUCUGAUAAUGUUUUAGCCAAGCCCCUAACGAUGCCUUUUUCCUUUUUAGGAAUAUAACGCUUAUACAAGUUCGUUGAGUACCCUUUUUAUGCGAACUAUGCCUUUUUCCUUUUUAAGAAAUAUUUCACGCGUA